AGUCAUACCGUACCGACUCAGUACCUUUGUGUUAGAUGAGCCGCACUGAAGCCCUGUAUCGGGCGACUAUUGGCGUGUCACUAUAACAAUUGUUUUCAUUAUGUGCUCGGAGUUUUAACAGAGAGGAUGUAUUUUUUUGGUUCCAGAGCUUGAAUAAUUGAUGAACACAUCGACAUUCCGGGAUUUGCGGGUUCUGGUGAAUCGUUGUCCUGUAGGACUCUGAUAUAUCUUUGUCCAUCGCGGUCUGACAUGUAGCGCCACCGCAUGGAGGCAGGGGACGAAACACAGAGGGCGCUGCUAAACCACAGCACCACCGCUCCCUCGCGGCUCAAUGAGGAACCACCCACAAACAACAACCAUCUGUCCCGCUCCCCAAGCAAGCGGUAUGACGCACCCCCGGGGAACAGGACAGAGGGGUCGGGCUCGGCGUGGAUGGAGUUCAAACCGGUCAUUAACCAGAUGGACAAGAUCCUGGAGAACAAAUACCGCGUCCGGAACAAGACACAGAUGACGCUCACUGUGCAGGGCAAGGUCUACAACUUCCUGGAGCGACCCACGGGCUGGAAGUGCUUCAUCUACCACUUCACUGUAUUCAUGAUGGUGCUGAUCUGUCUCAUCUUCAGUGUGCUGUCAACCAUUGACCAGUACACCGAGUUUGCCAAUGAAACACUCUUCUACAUGGAGAUAGUCCUGGUGGUGUUUUUCGGUCUGGAGUACGUGGUCCGUCUCUGGGCCGCGGGCUGUAGGAGUAAGUACAUGGGACUGGCGGGACGCGUCAGAUUCGCCCGGAAGCCCAUCUCCGUCAUUGAUUUCCUGGUGGUCACGGCGUCUAUUGUUGUCUUGUCUGUCGGUUCUAAUGGACAAGUGUUCGCAACGUCCGCCAUCAGAGGUGUCCGGUUUCUACAAAUACUGCGUAUGUUACAUGUAGAUAGACAGGGCGGAACAUGGCGACUGUUGGGUUCUGUUGUCUACAUUCAUAGACAGGAACUCAUCACGACGCUGUACAUAGGGUUCCUGGGACUCAUCUUCUCUUCCUAUUUUGUCUAUUUGGCGGAAAAAGAGAACGGGUCCACAGAUUUCACAAGCUAUGCAGAUGCGCUCUGGUGGGGCGUGAUCACCGUGACAACGAUAGGGUACGGGGACACAGUGCCCCAGACCUGGAUGGGGAGGAUCGUCGCUUCCUGCUUCUCCGUCUUCGCCAUAUCCUUCUUCGCUCUUCCUGCAGGUAUUCUGGGAUCAGGGUUUGCUUUAAAAGUUCAACAGAAACAACGACAAAAACACUUUAAUCGACAGAUCCCCACCGCAGCUUCUCUCAUACAGUGUCUGUGGCGAUGUCACGCCGCCGAACCGCCAUUUAAGUCGUCAGCUACAUGGAAGGUUCACAUAGAGGAAAAACGACAUUUUGAUAAACACCAUCCCGGGUUUUCCAAAUUGAUGAAUCAUUCCAUGAAUAAAUUAAACAGUAAGCAAAACUCAAACUCCAUGUCCAGAAUCACACAGAAAUCUAGUCUAUUGAAGAAGAGGCGCGGGUUUUCCCGGUCAGCGAGUAUCUCGGAUCGUCAGGGAAGUUGUCAGUCGAUCCCAGAAUGCCCAGAGAAAACAAGCCCGGAUCAGAUCUCUGACGAGAACAACUCCCAAUCCAUGGAAAUGGCAGAGUUUUCUAUAGAUUGUCAAGAAGAGGAGUCUGUUUCAAAACCUCAGGAAUUAACAGAACAACACAAAAUCAUGAUACGAGUCAUCAGGAGAAUAAAAUUCUUUGUAGCCAGACGGCGAUUUCAGUUGGCCAGGAAACCGUAUGACGUCAGGGAUGUUAUCGAGCAGUAUUCUCAGGGACAUUUAAAUAUGAUGGUGCGGAUCAAGGAACUCCAGAGGAGGCUUGACACCACACUAGGGAAACCACUCCAUGUUUUAACAAGAGACAAAGAGAGAACAACUGUGUUCUCUAAGCUCGCCAGUAUGGAGAACCAGAUGCGAGACCUUGACAGGAAAAUGGACCAGAUUCUGGUGCUGCUUCACACACAACACCAAGAAACUCGUAAUCAGCACCAGUGACCGUGAUCGAUACGUCCUAUAAUAACAACGAAACGAGAAAUAUUAUUAACAAUGUUGGUCAAAGAAAAAAGGAGUCUUAAAUGCUCAAAAUCACAUUAUUGAGCUAAAUUUUGGAAUGAUUGACCAGCAAUUACGUUUAUGAUUAACCUAAUUCUGCUGUAUGUGCAAGUAGGGAUUGACGAAACCUAUAAACAUGGUUAAAAGAAAGAGAUUCGCAACAGUAACGAAACAGUAGUUAAUUGAAUACGACAGUUUGAGUUUGAACACAAAAGAAAUAUACAACUGUGAAAAUAUACUUUUGAAAUUCAAAGUGAUUCAGCGAUGAUACUUUGAAUAUUGAUAAUCACGGUAUCUUAUUGUAAUAAUUGUUUAUAAAGUGUUUAUU
rnacentral:misc_RNA from 1 species